rnacentral:rRNA from 1 species
AACGAACGCUGGCGGCAUGCCUAACACAUGCAAGUCGAACGAGACCUUCGGGUCUAGUGGCGCACGGGUGCGUAACGCGUGGGAAUCUACCAUUGGGUUCGGAAUAACAGUUAGAAAUGACUGCUAAUACCGGAUGAUGACGUAAGUCCAAAGAUUUAUCGCCCAAGGAUGAGCCCGCGUAAGAUUAGCUCGUUGGUGGGGUAAUGGCCUACCAAGGCGACGAUCUUUAGCUGGUCUGAGAGGAUGAUCAGCCACACUGGGACUGAGACACGGCCCAGACUCCUACGGGAGGCAGCAGUGGGGAAUAUUGGACAAUGGGCGAAAGCCUGAUCCAGCAAUGCCGCGUGAGUGAUGAGGGCCUUAGGGUUGUAAAGCUCUUUUACCAGGGAUGAUAAUGACAGUACCUGGAGAAUAAGCUCCGGCUAACUCCGUGCCAGCAGCCGCAGUAA